GCGUGUUUUGAACUGCAAGAUGGUAUCUAUGGAAAAUGUAGUUCGCGCAACACGUGAAGGAUUUUUUUUUUCUCUUCCAGUUUUCCCAAGAAAUUUCUUCACCAGAUCUCUCUCAGAAUGAUAUCGAACAUUAAUAGUGAUGCAAUGUACAGCCAUGUAUGUAUUAUGCUGAUGCAAUUUUACACUAGUUUUUAAAAUGUGCUCAAGUUGUGGAUAUUCUCGGGGAAACUUACAGAACAUUUCUUUAUGGAUUCUAGGUAUCCAGCCAGGAAUAUUUAUUUUUCCUUGAGUGUAUAAAGGUUAUUAAAGAUAACCCAAAGUUUCUAACAAUGGAUAACGAGGAAACCUGAGACUGACAACAUUAAUUAACGAGCUUAUUUCCUGUCAAGCAGAAUGAAAACAAACCAAGCUACUGUUGGAAUCAGGAACAGUUUUGCGAAGAGAUUCAUCAUUACUGUGUCACGCACAGUAAGGAAAUGUAAUGUGAUGAUGACAACAUGCUAUGAAUCUGAAAGUUGUGCUUGGAAAAUGAUAAGCGAUCUACGCAUCUAGAAGACCUGUAAUAAUGCAUACGAUUAAAACCUUUUACAAAAAUUUUAAUAAAUGAUUUCGAUAAAACGGAAA